GUACAGCUUCUCUGCUACGUGCUCGUGAGUCAUAAUCAUGUAUAUAGCCCAAGACAGAGUCGUUGCAGUUGUAUCGCGACCCGCGAUGACAAAAUUCAGGACAAUGUCUCUCAGGCUUUUAUCAGUCAUAUUGUUCUCAGGAUCUUUCCCUUGCUCAAUGAACCUUGACAAUAGGUCAUGCUUAUUAACCUGGUUAUGAUGAAAAUCAUUGAGAAAUCAGCAUAGUAUAUAAGACUAAUAGCCUGUUUUGUCAAGCUAUCAGAAAACUGUUUAUUCUGGAAAGUGUCUUUUCAUCAUAAAUGCUUUUUUCAAAAAGUAAUUUUGGAGAGUAGCAGUUUGUAUUUAGUUAAUCAAACUAAAAGCACUUUUGUCAAAAUGGUACAGCAGCAAUAUGUGCUUGGCUGGAAAAAGUUAUGUUUUUCAGCUUCUCAAAAACAUUGUCUACUACUAUUCAAAAGAAUUUUUUAUUUUUCUAAAAGUUUGACUAAACACCUCAACUCUCUAAAAUAAACUUGGAGAAACAAGCUAUAAUUUAGCUAAACCAUAAUUAUAAAAAGUUCCAAUGAGCUUACUUUCUCAUUUGUUUCUAUCUCAGCUUUCCUUUUUCUUAUGACAGAAUAUGUGAAAUCAUCAAUUGUUCUAAUACUCUGAUCAAGGAUGGCUUCUGAUCCUAUGUUGAGAAAUUUCUUGAUUUUCCACAAAGGGUCAAUGAAUCUUAGUGUCACAAUGACAUUUGCAGCAUCAAAUGCCUUUGCAAAACUAUUCUCUGGAAAAGCAAGAGAGUACAAGUAUAAGCUGAAUAGGUUGAUGAGUAGCCUUGGAGCCGAGAAAGAAAGUAGACUCAACAUGCUAAGGAGUAGGCCUGGAGCAAGUCAGAGACGAGAGAAGCCCAAAGCAGCUUAAUUGGUUGAGUUGAGAGAGAAGCCAAGAGCAAUACAAAUGGGGGGGGGGGGGGGGGGGGGGGCUUCUUACGUACAUAUACCGUCGGCCGAACUUAAUUACUGGCAAUAGUCCAAAUAUACAAAAUAUAUACACUAAUAUGUAUAUUAUACGUAUGGUAUAUGUAUAUUUAUAGUAUAAAUAUACAAAAUCUAUACAUUUGUUAGA